rnacentral:rRNA from 1 species
AGAAUACUUUGGAAAAAGUAGCCAUAGACGGUGAUAGCCCGGUAUAGGUAAAGAACAGUAAGAUAGUGGUAUCCUGAGUAGUGCGGGGCACGUGAAACCCUGUAUGAAUCUAGCGGGACCAUCCGCUAAGGCUAAAUACUCCUGAGAGACCGAUAGUGAACUAGUACCGUGAGGGAAAGGUGAAAAGAACCCUGAAUAAGGGAGUGAAAUAGAUCCUGAAACCAUACGCUUACAAGCGGUCGGAGCCCUUAUGGGGUGACGGCGUGCCUUUUGCAUAAUGAGCCUACGAGUUACCGUUGUUAGCAAGGUUAAGGAUUUCAGAUCCGUAGCCGUAGCGAAAGCGAGUCUGAAUAGGGCGUAUAGUUAGCAGUGGUAGACGCGAAACCGUGUGAUCUACCCAUGGGCAGGGUGAAGCUGUAGUAACAUACAGUGGAGGCCCGAACCGGUUGACGUUGAAAAGUCUUCGGAUGACCUGUGGGUAGGGGUGAAAGGCCAAUCAAACUCGGAAAUAGCUCGUACUCCCCGAAAUGCAUUUAGGUGCAGCGUUAACUAAGUUUUAUAGAGGUAGAGCUACUGAUUGGAUGCGGGGGCUUCACCGCCUACCAAUUCCUGACAAACUCCGAAUGCUAUAAAAGAAUGGUUAGCAGUGAGGGCAUGGGUGCUAAGGUCCAUGUCCGAGAGGGAAAGAACCCAGAGCAUCAGCUAAGGUCCCAAAAUAUAUACUAAGUUGAACAAACGCGGUCAGACUGCUUAGACAGCUAGGAUGUUGGCUUGGAAGCAGCCAUUCAUUUAAAGAGUGCGUAACAGCUCACUAGUCGAGCGGUUCGGCAUGGAUAAUAAUCGGGCAUAAACAUACUACCGAAGCUAUGGACUUGUAAAAGUGGUAGGGGAGCAUUGUAGUGUCGUCGAAGGUGUGCUGUGAGGCAUGCUGGAGAAGCUACAAAAGAAAAUGUAGGCAUAAGUAACGAUAAUGCGGGCGAGAAACCCGCACACCGAAAGACUAAGGUUUCCUCAGCUAUGCUAAUCAGCUGAGGGUUAGUCGGGACCUAACGCGAACCCGAAAGGGGUAGUGGAUGGACAACAGGUUGAUAUUCCUGUACCUGCUCACACUAAAAGUGACGGAUUUGAAUAUUUGGUGCGUACUGACGGAAUAGUACGUUGAAUCAAUUUUUAAGAUUGAGAUAGUACCAUGAGGUUACGACUGAUUGGAUAAUCUAGAGGAGCAACUUCCAAGAAAAACAAGUGAAGCAGCCCGUACCGCAAACCGACACAGGUGGUUGGGAUGAGAAUUCUAAGGUGCUCGAGUGAUUCAUGGCUAAGGAACUAGGCAAAAUAGACCUGUAACUUCGGGAGAAAGGUCCCCUAUAUUUAUAUAGGGCGCAGUGAAAAGAUCCAAGCGACUGUUUAUCAAAAACACAGGGCUCUGCUAAGUCAAUAGACGACGUAUAGGGCCUGACGCCUGCCCGGUGCCAGAAGAUUAAAAGGAGGAGUGCAAGCUUCGAAUUGAAGUCCUGGUAAACGGCGGCCGUAACCUUGACGGUCCUAAGGUAGCGAAAUUCCUUGUCGGGUAAGUUCCGACC